AUAUAGUUCCCUGUGCUAUACAGUAGGAGCUUGAAGUUUAUCUAUUUUAUACACAGUAGUGUGUAUCUCGGAGAAGGCAAUGGCACCCCACUCCAGUACUCUUGCCUGGAAAAUCCCAUGGAUGGAGGAGCCUGGUAGGCUGCAGUCCAUGGGGUCGCUAGGAGUCGGACACUACUGAGCGACUUCACUUUCACUUUUCACUUUCAUGUAUUGGAGAAGGAAAUGGCAACCCACUCCAGUGUUCUUGCCUGAAGAAUCCCAGGGACUGGGGAACCUGGUGGGCUGCCGUCUAUGGGGUCGCACAGAGUCAGACUGAAGCAACUUAGCAGCAGACUUAGCAGUGUUUAUCUGCUAACCUCAAACUCCUAAUUCAUCCCACCCCCACCCCCUUUCCUGUUUGGAAAUCAUAAGUUUGUUUUCUAAGUCUGUGAGUCUGUUUUGUAAAUAAAUUCAUUUAUAUCUUAUUUCAGAUUCCACGUAUAAGUGAUAUCAUAUAAUACUUAUCUUUUUCUUUCUGUUUUACUUCACUGAGCAUGAUAAUCUCUAGGUCCAUCUCGACCGUGUUCUUCAUCUUGCAACUGAGAUGACCAUUAUUCAGGAAGCUGCUAUUCAUUUGUAUUGAGUGAGAUAUGAUUGGAUUGUUUCUGAGAUGUGCUGGAGAGCCGCUUUGGCUAAUUGCUUGCAGACUGCGAUCCAACCAGGCUUGCCAACCGUGGAGGCAGUAUGGAGGGGCUAAGAGGGAAAGGAAAGUGUCUUAUCAGCUCAUCUUUGCAUCGUUCAUCUUACAGAGGCCCAGUGAAGAAGAAGCAUUCAUUAAAUAUUUUUGGAAGGAAGGAAAGAAAGAAGAAAGGGAAGAAUGAGUUACUUAGAAGAGUGAUUAAAUGAUUAAAAGCAUUUACUCUGGAGUAAAAUUGGAUUUCAAAUCUGAACACUGCAACUCACCAGCUGGCUGAUUUGGGGGCAGAUUAUUCAACUUUCAUGUAUAGAAAAAAGAUAACAAUAUCUACCUCAAAGAGCUGUGAUAAGGGUUACGAGAUUAAUUCUGCAGAGAGUUCAGCAUAGUUUUCAACAUGUGGGAAGCACUCGGUGCCUGUUAUUCUCAUUAUUAUUAUACAGUUUACUGGAACUCCUCUUAAAUCUGAUAGACGCUUUGCAAAUGAUUGGGUAACAGUUGCGUUGGUCCUUGCUGAAAACAGGCAUGGGAAUCCUAUGAUCACUAGAAACAAGUUGUAAAUAAUCAGUGCUGUCCUGGAACUGCACACCAGAGAAGAUGGGCUGCCACUGUCACCAACAAGCCUGACCCUGUUGGCAGUGUGGAAUUUUAACCAGUUCAGACAGUGCUUAUCUGAACAGCGCUUAUGCAGUGUUCUGAACAUUUGAACAGUGCUUAUCUGUAAGUUCAAGGCACAGGGCUGAGGGUUCUGAAGCUUUCAGAUAUAAAUUGCACUCUGCCCUCCAGGAGCUGGUAACUCAUAAAUCACUCUAAGAAAAAGCAGACUGUGAUCAAGCGUUCCAGUCCACGGCAGACCACAGUAUGGACCCAAAGGGUGAGGAGAGGUGACCUGCUAAUUGGGGGAAAAUGGGUUCUGGGUUCAAAUUGCUGUCUCACUGUUUUCUGGCUGGGAAAAACUUUACUCAUAUGCAAAGUGAGAGCGCUUGGAGUAACCAACCACUUUAU
rnacentral:lncRNA from 1 species